GGAUUACUGUCAGUUUCAUGUGGCUCAAGCUAUUUUGGGUUUGCUUUUCAGUCCUUAAAAUCUUUUGUGCAUCAGGUCCAUUACCUAACUAACUGCUGAGCCUUGGUUUGUGACAGGAACGCAACAUGUACUUUGCAGAGUUGCCACAAGGCUUAGCUAUGACAUGUAAAAGUAUUCUGUUCGGAAAUCCUAAAUGUUCUGGAAAUAGUUAAUAAUAGAAGGUUAUUGUCCAUAUAAAUAAGUUAGAGGAUUUCCUCAUUUUCUCCUCCAGCAAUACUGCAUGUAUGGCAUGGAUGAUGGUUGCUAUGGGAAAGAGAAAUGGAAAAUGUUUGUUGGCCCAACAUGAUUUUUAAAACCCCAAUAGCUUUAUAGGCUUUCUCCUUCUGUAUGCUCUGGUAUGUCCUAGUAAGGUCACAGAUAAAGUCUGACAUACUUGGUGAAGUAACUAAAUAGGAAAUGUACUGAAACAAACCAAGAACAGAGUUAAAAAAAAAAAAAUCAAAGCCCUGAGCAAACAUUCUGAACUUUUGGCAGCAGAAUUGGGCUGCCCGAAUCCCCAUGACUCUCUGAGUUAUUAAUAGUGACUCACUUUGCCAUAUUUUGAGCAGAUAUAUAUUUAUAGGUUAUACAGUGUCUGUGUGUAGAGACUUGCAACAUUUGAUGGCCUUCUUGAAAAGUGUGUUGUCCCGGGAGAGAGUGGGACCAGGGUGCCGUCUUGUCAUCUGGGUAGCACCUAGCUCGUUAAAUGCUACGGGGAAAGAUGGGUGCUGCAGCAAAGCCUGGAACACGGCUCCCAUCUGCUCUGCCAGAAGCACGAUGAACUCAGGAGUUGCACAACAGUAGUAAUUCGCAGCUAUUUAUGACCAUUUUCAUAGCGAAAGGUCUAGAUUAGAAGGCUGUGUUUACAUGCCAAGCAGCAAAAACGGUUCCAUGAAUCAUCCCACAGUAACUUUUGGUCAAACCAAUCAACCGAGUAAUGAAAAACCAAGCAGCUGGUCUAGAAGCUGUGAUGAACACACCUCAUAGUAGCCUCCACCUUCAGGAUGCUCUUCUGAAUCUGAGAUCAAAUGGACUCCCACCCCCACAGGGUGCUGUGCCCAUCAUUAAGAAAACAUAUUUUUAGCCCAUGUUUAUUUUCUCCUGGUCAUGGCUCCAUUAGGUGACUUCAAUUAGUGACCCCAUGACUCAUUUGCAUCAAGACCGGUAAAACCCUUUCAUUUGUCCAUUUAAACUGACUUGAGGUUUUAGUUAAUUACCACUUCCUGUCAGCCUGAAGGUCAGACUAUUUCCCUUUGUUUCACUCAGCAGUUAAUCCCCUCAUUAAGGGCGAUGGGAAAUGAAUAAUUAAACAUGUGCCAUUUUCAUAGUUCAGGUAGUGAGAGGCCCUCAGGUCCCAGAGGAUGCUCCCAGAGAAAAAGUCAGGAAAGUGUUGAAGACCCUGUCUCCCCCAAACAUGCAAGUUUCUAUCUGCCUCCACGAAGGCUUUUCCCCUAAAUUGAAGCAAAAUGAAAACAGCAGUUAUGGGGCAGGGCUGUGACCCUCGAUAGCUGUGGGACUUGAGGGGAAGAAGCUCACCUUUGACACUAGAGAUUUUCUCCAUUAUAUAACGGGAGUGAUAAUGGGAAUUAAAAGAGCUUAUGAUGGUGGCUGCCACAUAGUAGGAGAUCAGUGAAUGUUAGCUACGUGUGCUGUUCUCAUCAUCACGUGGGCAGUCACCUUCUGAGUGCUUGUGGGUUUUAGGCCUUAAUCCAAUACCCACUUGCAGAGUGUUUGGAUGUUCACUGGGACAAGGAUCAAGGGUAAAUUUUGUUAGUUUCUGGAGAAAGAACAGAGGUAGCCACGUCUCUAGGGUGAUAAGGAAUUUAACUCCUACCAGAUUAGGGCUGGGGAUAUAGCUCAGUUGGUAGAAUGUUAGCCUUGCACGUAUAAGGCCCUGGGUUCUAAUCCCCAGCACCACAAAAAAAAAAAAAAAUGACCAUUAACUUCAAUCAAAGCACUGGAAAAAUUUCUACCAAACUUCUGCUAGUUACUCUAACAGGGUAUUUUGUAUUUUUGAGGGUGGAGGCCUAUAGGCAGAAGAAAGACAGUAGAUGGGAUCCAGAAGGAAGGGGAAGCCACCCAUAGAAGCUUCCACUGGUGCAAUCCAAAUUCCUGACAUAGAAGCCAGGUCCCACUACCUCAGCCCUCCCACUGCUUCUCCAUUUCAGGAGGUCCCCCAGGGCCCAGCCAAAAGUAGAUUGAGGAAGUCCUGGCCCCAUCAAGAAAUGCCUCUGAGUCUACCUUGGUCAUUUCUUUUGCCAAGUCAGUCAGGGAACUGCACAUAGUAGGGAUGCCUACCUUCAAGAUAGAGUUCAGAGAAAGCUCUAUAGAGGAAAGUGGGUCUUAGCUGAGUUUGGAAGGAAGACUAAGACUUGGUUGGCUGUUAAAUAGGAGAUAUUUCAAGUCAGUCAGUUCAAGAGCAGAAUGGGAAGGGUCUGGGGUGUUCUUAAAAUAGGAAACCUGUGAGACGGAAACAGGCUGCCUGUGGGACUGACAUUGGCCAAGGCUGUUGAUGAGGGUGGGAAGGUUGGAUGAAGCUCUUGGACUUUAUCCUGCCGUUGAUACAGAUGAUAGAGGAUGGAGGAAGGAUUCUAGAGGGAGAGCGUAGUACUGUGCAGGCAGAAUUGGUAGGGAGAGGCUUAAUGAGAGAAAGAUUAGUUCGAGGUCAAGGGCCUGAGAUAAAGGGAAGCUGAGAAUGAGAAGGAAAAUACAAUGAAUUAGAGCAGCUCUAUGAUUAUUGCAAAGGAGGUGGAAACUAUUGCUCAUUCCUGAGUCUUAAAAUUCAUUCUGUCAUUGCUUUACCCCAAAUAGUCAUUCCUAGCUGGAUUUUGGGGGGGGGGGGAAAUAUUUUGCCAUUUUAAAAAAGGUUCUAGUAAGAAGUAGCUUUGAAACUGCUCAUGGAAGAAUAAAAGUCACUGGGGGAGAAUGAACAGAGUGUGAAUGAUUGAAGAGUGAACAUGCACGGGAAUUGAUGCUCAAUGUGACAAACACAGUCUCACAGCUACUUCAGUCCCCAUCAGUACAGAGGAAUCCUUUCUAGAUUGUCCCAAAGGGGAGAAAAAUAUUAUAAUGAUGUAGUUAACAAGUUGUAUGAACUUGUAAUUGAAAAAAAUUAUAUCAGAAAAUUAAACCUGGAGAACUUAAAUAUUCUUUUAUCAUUUUAUAGAGGAAUGACCAGAACAAAACAGUGAAGAAACACCCUGAGUCACCAGCCCAUGAAUAUUGGAUCUAUUGCCAGAAGGACCAAAUUGCUCCUCAGAGUUAAGGGCUUCUUUCUCUGGAUGUGUUCCUGAACCUUCAGAGUUAGGAACAGCAGAUGCAAACACUAAAGCAGCUCUCGUCCUCCAAAGGGAAAUGUGAAAGGUAAG